UUUUUAAUUCCGGACAUAAAUAAGAAUAAAACUUGAGAAGUGUCAAAGGACACCCGAAUGGAACGAAGUUAUU